rnacentral:rRNA from 1 species
UGGCGGCAGGCCUAACACAUGCAAGUCGAGCGGAAACGAGUUAUCUGAACCUUCGGGGAACGAUAACGGCGUCGAGCGGCGGACGGGUGAGUAAUGCCUAGGAAAUUGCCCUGAUGUGGGGGAUAACCAUUGGAAACGAUGGCUAAUACCGCAUGAUGCCUACGGGCCAAAGAGGGGGACCUUCGGGCCUCUCGCGUCAGGAUAUGCCUAGGUGGGAUUAGCUAGUUGGUGAGGUAAGGGCUCACCAAGGCGACGAUCCCUAGCUGGUCUGAGAGGAUGAUCAGCCACACUGGAACUGAGACACGGUCCAGACUCCUACGGGAGGCAGCAGUGGGGAAUAUUGCACAAUGGGCGCAAGCCUGAUGCAGCCAUGCCGCGUGUGUGAAGAAGGCCUUCGGGUUGUAAAGCACUUUCAGUCGUGAGGAAGGCGGUGUCGUUAAUAGCGGCAUCAUUUGACGUUAGCGACAGAAGAAGCACCGGCUAACUCC